rnacentral:pre_miRNA from 1 species
GACAUACUCUCUCCGUCCGGAAAUACUUGUCAUUAAAAUAAAUAAAAAUGAAUGUAUCUAGAAUUAAAAUACAUCUAGAUAUAUCUAUUUCAAUGACAAGUAUUUUCAAACGGAGGGAGUAUGAU